rnacentral:rRNA from 1 species
UAUUUCUGCUGCAUGGCAGAGAUAUCAAAGGAGUUAAAUCCGGUUUGAGAUGGACCCGCGGCGCAUUAGCUAGUUGGUGAGGUAACGGCUCACCAAGGCGACGAUGCGUAGCCGACCUGAGAGGGUGAUCGGCCACAUUGGAACUGAGACACGGUCCAGACUCCUACGGGAGGCAGCAGUGGGGAAUAUUGCACAAUGGGGGAAACCCUGAUGCAGCAACGCCGCGUGAGUGAUGAAGGUCUUCGGAUUGUAAAGCUCUGUCUUCUGGGACGAUAAUGACGGUACCAGAGGAGGAAGCCACGGCUAACUACGUGCCAGCAGCCGCGGUAAUACGUAGGUGGCAAGCGUUGUCCGGAAUUACUGGGCGUAAAGAAUGCGUAGGUGGAUAAAUAAGUCAGAUGUGAAAUACCCGGGCUCAACUUGGGUGCUGCAUUUGAAACUGUUUAUCUGGAGUGCAGGAGAGGUAAGUGGAAUUCCUAGUGUAGCGGUGAAAUGCGUAGAGAUUAGGAAGAACACCAGUGGCGAAGGCGACUUACUGGACUGUAACUGACACUGAGGCAUGAAAGCGUGGGGAGCAAACAGGAUUAGAUACCCUAGUAGUCCACGCCGUAAACUAUGAGUACUAGGUGUAGGAGGUAUCGACUCCUUCUGUGCCGCAGUUAACACAAUAAGUACUCCGCCUGGGAAGUACGGUCGCAAGAUUAAAACUCAAAGGAAUUGACGGGGGCCCGCACAAGGAGCGGAGCAUGUGGUUUAAUUCGAAGCAACGCGAAGA